AAACACUCUAAAAAUUUAAUAAUCUGUCAGUAUCUGCAUAAGAUCUUAAACUUUGCUUCAUCAGCUUUAUUCGUUGCCAGAGCCAGAUCGUUUGAUCGUUUGUUUUUGCAAGUUGUUAAACAUUUAUUAUGAGGUUGUUUUAUUGGUUGUGCACUUAUCGUUUUUAUCGAGGAACCAAGAUUCAUUUAUGUCUUUUACAAAAAGGGCAUACGAAAAGAGACGCAGUAGACGUGUCCAAAAAGAACAUUAAAAAAUACUAGAAUUUUCAUCAGUAUAUAUAGAAAAAAAAUCGAAUGUUGGAACUUCUAAAAAAAAUGAUUUCUUAUCUUGCGAAAAUCUAAAAGAAUAUUUUGACCAUCAUGAGUCAUCGAUUUUGUACAAUGAAUACUCUUAUGACCAAAAGCCAAAUGAGUAUAAGCAUAACCCAACUUUAAAAGGAAAGUUUUCUGCAUGUUUUUCUAACCAAGUAAUUAUGCACUAAAAAAGUGGAUUGACAAAGAAUAGCAACAAAUUUAUUGUCCCAAAAAAAAACUAUAAUCAUGCACUUAAAAACAACCUUUCAUCAACAAAAGAAUGGUACAAAUUUCCAUUGAUAAACUGUAAGAUAACAGAUAGUCAGUAUCUAACUUGUUUUGUGUUUUUUUUAAAGAGCUGUUAUCAGAUUCAAAGAUUGAAGACGAUAAUUUUUCUUCACAUUUUAUUGAUGAACACAAUCAAACCAAACAAAGUUCACAUUGUCAAAGAGUUUCAAGUUUUAAUAUGAGUAUUUUUGGUUUUUACACCACUGAAUGUUAAUGUGGAGGUCUUUUUUAUUAAUUUGUUUUUGUAUUAAAAUAAUUGUAAAAGAUAGGUAUAAAAGAAUAGAAAUGGAUAAUUUGUAAUAUUGUGAUCCGAUAAAUCAUAGAUGCAAAAUGUUAUUCUCAACGAGCUUGCAGAAAUAAAAGUUCUUUUAAAAGAAGUUAUAGAAAUUAAGUUUCAGGCUACUGGGGUGAAGUUGCUAGAAUCAGUGGACGAAGUGGUUACACUGGAUAAUAAACUAAAAGAUAAAACUGAGUAUACUAAUUUGCUUGAUAGUUUGAAAAAGAUUGGUGGUGGAAAGCCAAGAGAACAUGUUUUUUUGAUCAUGAAAAUAUAAAUGAUUAUGUUUUUAUUAAUUAUUAGAAAUAUGAUUAAAAGGGACCAAAACCAAUUCAUUUUGACCGUUAUUUGUUAUGGAUUUACUUUUAACAUGACAAUUUGAUAAACUCGGUUAUUUUCGAAUCAGUUACAGUCCAAAUUUAAUCGAAAAGGAAAUGGGGAAAAGAUAAGCUUAGAAAAUCUAGUAAAUAUAUGGAGUGUUUUACUAGAUAUCGGCGACGUGGAAGAAAAUGUUGACGGCAAUGAAGAAAUAUAGUUUCUUUUUAUGUAUAUAUGUAUAUUUUUGUGAAAUAAAAAUUAAGUAAUGUUAGUU